rnacentral:rRNA from 1 species
UACGUAGGGAGCGAGCGUUAUCCGGAUUUAUUGGGUGUAAAGGGUGCGUAGACGGACAUGCAAGUUAGUUGUGAAAUCCCCAGGCUUAACUUGGGAAUUGCAACUAAAACUACAAGUCUUGAGUACUGGAGGGGAAAGCGGAAUUCCUAGUGUAGCGGUGAAAUGCGUAGAUAUUAGGAAGAACACCGGUGGCGAAGGCGGCUUUCUGGACAGUAACUGACGUUGAGGCACGAAAGUGUGGGGAGCAAAC